AAGCUCGUAGUUGAAUUUCGGGGUUAGUAGGUUGGUCAUGCCUCUGGUAUGUACUGGUCUCACUGAUUCCUCCUUCCUUAUGAACCGUUAUGCCAUUAAUUUGGUGUUGCGGGGAAUUUGGACUGUUACUUUGAAAAAAUUAGAGUGUUUAAAGCAAGCUAACGCUUGAAUACAUUAGCAUGGAAUAAUGAAAUAGGACGUUCGAUCUUAUUUUGUUGGUUUCUAGGAUUGACGUAAUGAUUAAUAGGGAUAGUUGGG
rnacentral:rRNA from 1 species